CCAUGCACCGCUGCAAAUAUCUACUAAUUCUGCACCUAUUGGUGUUAGAAGAUCACGCCAGGAAGACCAGAAUGUGACUGCUCUGCCGGUUCAGGCCAAUGGACAAAAGACUGCAAACCCCUGUGAGAUCAGUGUGAUACCUAACACCCCUGAGCAAAAACGUCCAAGACAAUCAACUCAAUCAGAAGACACGGAGUUCUGGAAUGAACAUUUUGCUCAAGC